rnacentral:lncRNA from 1 species
AAAAAAAAGAAAAAGGAAAAAAGAGAAAAAAGAGAGAUGAAAUUAUGGGAUGUGAGAAAUGAGAGGAAAGAAAAGAGUGAUAAUUAGCGAAAAAAAGGAAGGAAAAUGAGCAAGCCAAGAAAUGCUAGAAAAGAAAGAAAAGAGAAGAUUGAAAUGAACAAAAUUGGGAUGAUGCCAAGUGACUUUGUGACCCUAGAAGUCAUUCUAGAACCGUUAAUUGUUGCUACGUGCAUUGCAUGCAAUGUGAUAUUUUUAGCUGUUAAAUACCCUAAUGCUAACAAGAUGUCCCCAUUUUGUUCCUUUUGUUAUCUUCAUUGAGCAGAAGGGUGGUUGGUUUGUGGUUCUUAAGUAACUCAUCCAUACAACAGAAUGUCAAAGAACAAGGUAGUCAUGGCUAGCAAAGACUUGGACACAGGGGUUAUUGAUCCAUCUAAGGGAAUUGUUGAAUCAGAAUCUGAGUUGAAAGAAGAGGUCUUAAGGUUGAAAGGACAGAUGAUCGAAAUAUAUUAAGCCUAGAUUAGUGGGCAUCCUCCACCAUCAGUUCCCACUAACUACACUAAAAACCUUGUCACUAUUCCGCCAUUGUUACAAGUCCAGGAUAUCUCCCCACAACCUUUUCAGACUCCAUUCCCCAGAACCACCUCAUAUCCCGAUCAUUUGACCACUCAUAUUUUUGUAGCUCAUCCACCUGCUACCUUUCCUUGAUCCUCCCCGAUGCCCAACACUAUGCUCCAGAACCAAUUUUCAAGGUCUUGGGUCCAUACUCUUACGCUCCUCAUUUUGAGCCUCCCGGUGAGACUGCAAAGCCCGCUAAGACAGUGGAGCAAGAUGAGAUAUCUAGAAAGCCGAAAGGGUUUAAGAUGCCAAAGUUUAAUUUGUAUGAUGGGCGUAGAGAUCCAGUAGCCUAUCUAAGGGGUUAUGGCAGUGAAAUGAGAGGUGUUGGCGGGGAAGAUGAGUUGUUGAUGAAGUAUUUCAGUGAGAGCCUGACUGGGACAACUUUGGAAUGGCAUACUCGUCAAGAUGUCGGUAAGUGGCAUGCAUGGGAUGACAUGGCUCAAGAUUUUAUGUGACACUUUCAGUACAAUAUAGACAUUGUCCCAGACCGCUCCUCCCUAUCUCAGAUGGAAAAGAAACCCGAGGGAAGUUUUAGGGAGUUUUGGCUCAGAUGGAACGAACAAGUUAGUUAGGUCAGUUCUCCGAUUAAUAGAAAAGAUGCUGCUGAAUCCCGCCAACGAAAGGAUCCAGUGGGCAUUCCUGCUAAACGCUUUCAGCCUCAAUACUGACCCCAUGAAUAUCCUCGUACUCCAGAUAAUCCUUCCCAGUGCUGCUUUCCUCUACAAAUCACCAAGGUCAUGCCUUACCUUCCCAGUACUCUAUCCACAAUGCACCGCCAUAUGCUCCAUACCCACAAGACUCGUAAUGGCUUGCACCACCUUCACAAAUAUCGUCCCCGCCUCCUUAAGCAUGUCAAACACCUACCCGUAUGAGGUUCCAACCGAGGCGGAGUACAAAAUGAAAAGACUUUCACUCCUAUUGGAGAAUCAUAUGCUAGUUUGUUCCAAAAGUUCAGGCAAUUGGACAUGUUGAAGCUGAUUCAGAUAAAAUGUCGAACCCUUUUCCAAAGAAUUUAGAUUAUUCUCAAAGGUGCACAUAUUGCUCUAAUGCCCCGGGUCACAACACAGAAAAUUGUUGGCAUCUGAAAAGAGCAGAUCAGAAGCUUAUUGAUGCAGGUGACAUUAUCGUGCAAAAUCUAGAUGUAGUAGACACUAGCCAAAGUCCAUCACAUGUUCAUAAUGAGAUGUAUAUAGUGGGUAUGAUUUGUGGUGAAAAGGAAUACGAGAAUUCUUAUGAGAUCCUCAAAGGGUCACUUGCCGCAAAGUUUUCAGCGCUAUCGGUCUUAGUUCCAAAAGUUGACAUAUCUGUUAGAGGGCUCGGAUGUGAGUUCCGAUGGUUCGACUAGCUUCGGGAGGUGAUUUGUGACUUAGGAGUGUGAGCGGAAUGAGUUUUGGAGGUUCGGAGUAGAUUUAGGCUUGAAUCGGCGAAGUUGAUAUUUUGACAAUUUCUGGUUGAUAGGCGAGAUUUUGAUAUAGGGGUCAGAAUGGAAUUCCGAGAGUUGCAGUAGUUUUGUUGUGUCAUUUGAGAUGUGUGUGCAAAAUUUCAGGUCAUUCGGACAUGGUUUGGUUGGGUUUUUUAUCAAAAGCGGAAUUCGGAAGAUUUUAGAAAGUUUGGCUUGAAUCCGAGGGUUUUUGGUUGAUUUGAUAUUGUUUGAGGUGUUUUAAAGAUUGGAACUAGUUUGGAUAAGCUAUUGGGAUAUGUUGGUGCCUUUGGUUGAGGUCCCGGGGGCCUUGGGUGAGUUUUGGGUGGUCAAUCGGACCAUUUCGUGAAGUUUGGAAUUGCAGAAAUCUGUUGUUCAGUGUUGCAUACAAUAAACCUUCGCAUUCGCGAUAGAGGAGCCGCGAUUGCGAAGGGUUAGCUGGUCAAGGCUGGAUUUUGGCCUUCACAUUCACGAAGGUCUGGGAAGUGAUGCAUCACGUUCACGAGCAGGGCAACGCAUUCGCAUAGAGGAAUUGGGUCAGCGGUGUUUGUGGCCGAGUUAUUCAUCGCGUUCGCGAGAGAGGGAGUGCAUUCGCGAAGAGUAAGUCUGAGGAACCAUCGCAUUCGCAAUGGCCUUGUCGCGUUCGCGUAAGAGGAUUUUGUUCAAAGUCAUUUUUGUUCUUCGCAAACACGAGGCGUUGACCGCGUUCGCGAAGAAGGAAUUAAUGCCUGGGCAGAAAGUUUUUAAGGUCGUCUUGUCUGCGAAUGUGGGGUUUAUUUCCUCCAUAGUUGGUCAUUUUUGGAGAUUUUUGAAGGAGAUUGAAGAGGGAUUCAAGGGGAAACAUUUGGAGGUAAGAAUUUUGGACUUAAAAAUCGAUUCUAUUGUAAAAUCUGCCCAAUAAAUCAUGGAUCUAAGCCUAAAAAUUGAGAAAUUAGGGCUUGAGAUUAAGAGACUUUAAAUGAGGAUUUGAGGGGCCAUUUGGACUCCAAUUUUAGUGUUCUUGAUAUGUAUAGACUCAUGGUGAUGUGAUUUUUAUCGAGUUUCGAGACAUGGGCCCGGGGGUCGGGUUUUGGCCAAUUUCGAGAUUUUUGGUAUUAUUUGAUUGUUUUCACUUGGGCUUCAUUCCCUUAGCAUAUUUUGACGUCCUCGUUCUUAUUUUUGAUAGAUUCGAAGGGCAAAGGCAUCACAAACUAGAGAUUUGACCGUUUCGAGGUGAGUAGUGGUUGUAAAUGAUGUUCUGAGGGUAUGAAACCCCGGAUUUGCACAUCGUAGUGCUAUAUUGAAGUGACGCACAUGCUUGAUGACGAGCGUGGGGUUGUGCACUGUUGGGGAUUGUGACUUGAUCCGUCCCGAAUGACUAUUUUACCGCGUAUUUGAUUGAAAUCUAUUUGUUAUCAUCAUGUUUUGGCCUGAAUGUCAUAUUUGGGCCUUGUGCCAACUAUUUAAACCCUUUGGGGAUUUUUACCGGUAUUUCCUCAAUGUUUUGAUUUAUACUCGAACUCAGUCAUGUUAUAUUUCAUUGUUUUCGUACUCAACCAUGUUUACUAUGUUUUAACACUUAAAUGAUCUUUUAAAUGAUAUUUUGGGCUGAGAAACAUGUUUUACUACUGCCCGAGUGGCUUGCGAGGAUUUUUGACUGAGUAAGGCCGAUGACCUAUGUUGUGAGGAAAUAUUUGAUACUGAUUAUGAAGCCGAGGGCCUGAGAUAUGUAAGCCACGAAGUGGCUUGAUUGAUAUGAGGUCGAGGACCUAGUGAUGAUGCCACGGGGUGGCUUGAUAUUGCGCUUGGGCCGUAAAGGGACCCUCGAGGAGUCUGUACACCCCCAUUGAGCGUGGGUACCCAUUGGGAUGUGAGAAUGAGCCCGAGGCCUGGUAUUGUUCUAUAUGAUUGCCCGAGGGGUUGAUACUGUUCUAAAAUGUUGCCCGAGGGGCGGAUUUGUUGAUACUGUGCCGAGGGGCGAGCCUUUAUGUGUUUACUUUUCAUAAUUGACUGUGAAUUACCUGCUUAAUUAUUGAAAAGGGAUUUUCACGAAACUACAUUUGAGUUAAAGGGUUUUACCUAUCUUUCACUGUUUUACUGAUUUUAAUAGUUUUACUGCUUCAUUAUAGAAUGCUUUGUGCCUUCCGUGAUUUCUUGCUUUCAGUCUUUAUUUACAUUUGUUACUACUGAGUUGGAGUACUCACUUUACUCCCUGUACCCCUGUGUGCAGAUUCAGGCGUUGCUGAUCCUGCCAGUGCGAGUUGUGAGCUCCUGACGGACAUUCGGAGUUCACGAGGUAGCCGCUUGACGUCCGCAGACUCGUGUUUCUCCUUCUUUAUCAUUUCUAUUUCUGAUCAGACAAUUGUAAUAGUUUAUAGACUUAUCAGAUUUGUAGUAGGAUUUAUAGAUGCUCAUGACUAGUGACACCCCGAUAUCAAGCUGUGUUGGGUUGUUCUAUUGCGUAUUUAUGAUAUUAUCUGCUACUUUAGAUUAUUUUAUCAUGUUUAGA